rnacentral:telomerase_RNA from 1 species
UCAAACGGAGUGUCUCUUCUAACCCUAAAUUUGGGCGACUUCCUGUACUAUAUACGUUUACUGUUUUGUCUCUUGCUUUCAGUAGACGACAGGAAGUUUUCGAAUAUUGGUAGGCAUAUGGCAAACAAAAAAGCAAAGAUAUUCACUCUGUGACGCUCACUCUUCCCGAUGGAAUCACCAUGAACAUGCCGUGGUCAGCAUGGCUGCCGCGAAGAGUUCGUCUCUGCUGCUCUGGUGAUUUUCUCUGGAAAGAACUUGUUGAGCAGAUCAAACUGAGCUGGGUAACAGGCGGAUCUAAAUUAUGAUUCGGGUCGAGAGCCCAUGCUCAAACAUUU